rnacentral:lncRNA from 1 species
AUAAACUGCAAAAAGAGCAAGAGCAGAAGGUGACGUUGGAGGCAACGAUCAGCCAUUUGCAGAGUAAGGAACACAGAGAUGCACAAAGUAAGAAACCUUCUUUGGUGCUGGGGACUAUAAUGUGAAUUUUUGUGUUCCCAGACUUGAUCCACAACCAGAACAACCAAUGGAAGAGGCAGGAGUUGUCGGUGCAAAGGAAAGACCAGGUUUCCACCACACAGACCCCACCUCUCACUCCUGCCAAGGAAAAACAAAAUGCUGUGCUAGAGCACCCCGAGGAGGAGGAGGGAAAAGAAAGUCUGAAGGAUGAGAUGCAGAAAAGGACAUCCCAGCUGAGAGCAAAGGAGAACGAGGAUCACCAGGAUGCUCCAGAGGCAGAGCGGGGCCGUGCCCCAGCACGGGGGCAGCGCUGUGGCCACUGUGGGAGCCCGGCCACCCCGGCCACCCUGGCUGUGUGCCAGCAGCAGGGGACACCUCCUGCUCAGAGCCCCUCGCUGUGCUCGCAGUGCUCGGAGCUGCGCUGGGAGCUGGAGGCGCUGAGCGAGGAGUACCAGUCGUGCCUGAGCCGGCUGCGCCAGUGCCGGGACGAGCUCAACCGCUCCCACGGCAGCCGGGCACAGAGACAGCGCUGUCACUGGAUCCCUUUCCUGGUGGCAGUGACAGCAGUGGCCAUCGCCGCCUUCCUCGCGAGUUACAGGCUGUGAAGGAGCUCUUUGAAGGCUGAUUUCACUGCAGGAACUUCACUGCAGGCUGACUUCACUGCAGGAAAGGACCUCUGUUUCACCAAAAGCAACAUGACCUCACCGCACCUUCUGCUGUUUUGGAUGUGCACGUUUGGUUCAUAUCCCGAGCUGAUCUCUCUCCAGCCAACUCCCAA